GAGGGCGGAUUUCAGCAGCCUGGGCAUUUCUAAAAGGGGAAGAGACAGGGCCUUAAUACUGACUGAACUUCAGCUUUGGUCAGGGUCCUUUCUCACGCCCCUUGAUUCCUCCCGAUAACUCACGAAGGCUGACGCGUUAGUUGUGAUGCCAUAUGUUCUACGUGGGAUCUCCUAGAAAACAUUCUGGUGUGCUUGCCUCUUGUCCGGAGCAGGACUUGGGAAGGGACACGCUGACUCCACAGACCUAACACUCGUUUGGAUUUGUGCCCUUUGUCAAACGCUUCAAAGGACUGCUACUCAACAGAUGUCAAGAGUCAUCUCUUUGGUUCUGUUAGGAAUUGGAGAACAGAAACCUGGAAAUUCCACUCAGCGAUGCAUUUUAUGAAGCUCGCCUGAUGCCUGAUGCUGAUUCCAAAAUAAACAAAACCAGUGAAAGAAGCAGACUCAGAGGCCGACUCACUCGUGAACAUCAAUGCAAAAUUCUCCCUCCACGUACUCCUGAGCCAGAUUCAAUCCGGUGCACUAAGUGGUUACGGCUGAGUUUGGUUUAUCUCAGGAAUUCAAGAUUGAUCUAACAUUUGAAAAAAUGAACAAUGUAAUUUAUCAUAUUAACAGAUUGAAAGAGAAAGAAUGAUUAUCUCUUUGACGCGGGAAUAAGAAAACCAUAAUCACUCAUAAAUGUAAAAAUAAGAGACAACAGUAAAGCUACAAAUAGAAAAUACAGUUCUUGAUAAAGGCGCUUUAAAAAAGUCACGCCGUGGAUCCAAGAGUGAACUGUGGAAAGCAUUUCCUUUUAAGGAACAUUUAAGAUGGAGAGCAAAACACGAUUAAUGGCUAACGCAACUUCCAUUCAGCGUUGGAGGAGAUAGUGGCUAUUGCAGCAAAUAAACAAAAAAAGUUAAAGAAAUUAAAAUAAUAAAUACUGGGAAAAGCUAUAACUAUCGGUAGAUGUACUCUUACUUGUGUUGAAGCAUCAUAACCACAAGUAAAUUAUUAAAAUUA